AUGAACGCUGGAGGGGUGCCUAAUACAUGCAAGUCGAGCGAACGGACGAGAAGCUUGCUUCUCUGAUGUUAGCGGCGGACGGGUGAGUAACACGUGGAUAACCUACCUAUAAGACUGGGAUAACUUCGGGAAACCGGAGCUAAUACCGGAUAAUAUUUUGAACCGCAUGGUUCAAAAGUGAAAGACGGUCUUGCUGUCACUUAUAGAUGGAUCCGCGCUGCAUUAGCUAGUUGGUAAGGUAACGGCUUACCAAGGCAACGAUGCAUAGCCGACCUGAGAGGGUGAUCGGCCACACUGGAACUGAGACACGGUCCAGACUCCUACGGGAGGCAGCAGUAGGGAAUCUUCCGCAAUGGGCGAAAGCCUGACGGAGCAACGCCGCGUGAGUGAUGAAGGUCUUCGGAUCGUAAAACUCUGUUAUUAGGGAAGAACAUAUGUGUAAGUAACUGUGCACAUCUUGACGGUACCUAAUCAGAAAGCCACGGCUAACUACGUG
rnacentral:rRNA from 1 species